rnacentral:lncRNA from 1 species
UAUGAUACUAUCACCUGUUUACCUGUGAUUUUGAUUGAAUUCACAAUGGCUCAAUCUGCAUCUAAAACAUGCGAGGUUUGCGUGAGUGCCUUUGGAUCACAAUAUUGCAUAGACUGUGAGGAAUAUUAUUGUGAAAAUUGCAAGUUGCUACAUAAUAGGCAGAAGUUAUCGAGAAACCACCAGUUUCAAAAAGCGUCCGAUCUAAUCCCGGAAGGUAAAUCUAAAUGUAGUGAACACAAAGAAGAAUUAACGUUAUUGUGUAAUACAUGCAAUGUACCGACAUGUACCAGUUGUGUGACAGGAAAUCACAAAGGGCAUACAUUUUCCAAAUUAGUCGAUGCAGUUGCGAAAUUACAAGUGGAAAAUGAAACGAAAAUUCGUGCCAAAACAAACGAGGCAAAUCAAAAUAUA